rnacentral:sRNA from 1 species
AAAGGUAUGAUAUAAUAAUCCAGUAGAAAAGUGAGACGGUGGCUACAAAUUUUGAAAGGGGUGGUGCUUAUGAAUGUAAGUACAGAAAUCCACUUAGAAAGGAGUAGCAUCUUGUCAGUUGCAGAGGCAUUGCAAGUUAUGUUAGGAUUUGGUGGAUUUACCAUCAGUUUAUUAACAC